rnacentral:rRNA from 1 species
UCGGAAAUGCCCGAAGUCGGUGACCCAACCGUUUACGGAGGGAGCUGCCGAAGGCAGGUCUGGUGACUGGGGUGAAGUCGUAACAAGGUACC